UUCGACCAUUUCCCGACUUUUCAAGAAUCCGUGAAAAUCUUGGCAUAUUUUGACUCCGGAAUUGUGUUUGGUGAAUACGGAGAUAUUUUGACUGGAUACCGGUAUUUUGAAUGACGUGUGCUGCCAAUCGCAUUGAAUAGAAUGUUGGCCCUCCCUCUGCCGUUAUGAUUAUGAAGCUCUGCGCGGCAGCCCGCCGCUUCCUAUCUGGAUUUCUGUCGUACGUUAGUUGGCAGCAUCUUUAUCACAGACUUUCCAGAAAUCUGUCGCAGACUUGUUAAGCCAUCAAAAAACCUUAUUUAGUUCUAGCUCUAGGCUAUGGGACUAUGAGAGGACUCCGAGACGGUGUCCAAGUGAGAUGGCUGGCGAGGUUGUUCGAGGUCAUUUCAUGAUGAGGAUGGACCAGACUUUAAGACAUUCUGAGCUCCAUGAAUGUCAUGAGACACUCCAGGAGACGGUGGUUGCAAUGCAUUAUCAACACCCCGCAACCCCAACCCUCCAAUGGAACCCAGAACCCUCCGGAGUUCCUCAGGACCUGUCGAAGCCUGAAAUAGAUUCUUUGAGAAUCUUAAAAGUCAAACAACUGGGCCUUGCGGGGAAGACUGAUGACGUGAGAAAAAAAGGAAAAAUUUGAUGGGCAGGUGUGAGCGGGUAGGUAAAACCACAACUACCAACCCCAUCAUACAACUGCCAUCACUUUCUUUUGUCACUACUUCACUUCAGGGGGCAAUUAGCCAAUAUCCCCUUUCUUUCUUCCGAGUACUAUUGUUAGUUUUUAGAAUGACCGCAUUUGGUACAAGGUAUUUGCAAAUGGGCAGCCAACACUAAAGGUCUGUUUUGACUCCUCCGUCAGGCCCUACCAUGGAGCAUAUGGCAGGGCACUCGUUUGCAAUGCAACCGACCCGGGUUCAAUUCCUGGCCUGGGUCCUUUGCCAGCCCUUCCCCAUCUCUCUCUCCCAACUUGCUUCCUGUCAUCAUCUGCACUGUACUGUCAUUAUGAAGACAAUAAUAUCUUUUUUUAAAAAGACUCCUCCAUCAGUUGGGGGACACAUACUGUCAGUGGGGGGGGCAGUGGCAGAUCGCGAACAAUUCAAACUGGGAGAACUAUACGUUGAUCGCGGCAAGGGGUCUAUUCAGCGCUAAAAGGGAGGGCGUGGUGGCUGUUUGGGUACUUGAUCUGCCGUUACCCUGCUGACAGUACGUGUCCUCCAACUAAAGGACGAGUCUAAACCAGGCUUAAGAGAUGCAAGCAUAAGGAAACGUGGGGGGGACCAUAGUUUUAAAACACGUGGUUUGGGGGAACCAUGGUUUAUGGCAAAUAGUGUAUCAAAGUUAAAUAGUAGAACCAUGGUUAAUUUUUGUAAGGGAUAUUACUAUGACAGCUACUGUACUCCUGUGGAUAAACCACAAUUGAACUAUGCUUGGUUGAUCUGCUGGAUAAUCUUGUGAAAAUCCUGCUGUAUUAUCUCAUGUGACCAGUUCUUUGGCAUGUUCAUGGUAAACAAGCAUGAGUGUGGGUUUUGAACUGUACAUAUUUUUUAAUGUUUAACACAUUGUUUAAAACUGCCCUAUUUUUUUGUUGCUUUUCAAGCAGUGGUGCUGGUGGCGCAGGAUGUCCUGGAGGAGGACGACCUCGACUACCUCAAAGGAGCUGAUUCUAGCCUUGUGCCUGAUGGGGAAACAAGUGCACAUUUGUUGUGCUCUGUCUGAGAUGGAGAAGUGUGCGCCUUGCUGGCGUACUUCAAUUGAUGCCAGCAAGCCCAGCCAGCGAGUGACCGAUAGUGGCCGGUUCUCCCUUCGUGACCUCCCCCCCCCCCUUCUGCGGCCGACAAAGCUUGAAAUAUGAUUAAAUGUAAAUGUAAAAUAAGCAAUUAAAGAAAGAACAUUCAACAAAAUAAUUGUCUGUUAUAAUAUGAUUUUAGCUGGGAUUUAGCAGUAAUUUAAA